ACGCACGCUGGCGGCGUGCUUAACACCUGCAAGUCGAACGGAAAGGCCCUGCUUUUGUGGGGUGCUCGAGUGGCGAACGGGUGAGUAACACGUGAGUAACCUGCCCUUGACUUUGGGAUAACUUCAGGAAACUGGGGCUAAUACCGGAUAGGAGCUCCUGCUGCAUGGUGGGGGUUGGAAAGUUUCGGCGGUUGGGGAUGGACUCGCGGCUUAUCAGCUUGUUGGUGGGGUAGUGGCUUACCAAGGCUUUGACGGGUAGCCGGCCUGAGAGGGUGACCGGCCACAUUGGGACUGAGAUACGGCCCAGACUCCUACGGGAGGCAGCAGUGGGGAAUAUUGCACUAUGGGCUGAAGCCUGAUGCAGCAACGCCGCGUGCGGGAUGACGGCCUUCGGGUUGUAAACCGCUUUCGCCUGUGACGAAGCGUGAGUGACGGUAAUGGGUAAAGAAGCACCGGCUAACUACGUG
rnacentral:rRNA from 1 species